ACGCUCGACACCUACGGGGGCAGCAGUGGGGGAUAUUGCACAAUGGGGGAAACCCUGAUGCAGCAACGCCGCGUGAAGGAAGAAGGUCUUCGGAUUGUAAACUUCUGUCCUCAGGGAAGAUAAUGACGGUACCUGAGGAGGAAGCUCCGGCUAACUACGUGUCAGCAGCCGCGGUAAUCUGAGCGGGCUGGCAAGGC
rnacentral:rRNA from 1 species